GGUUUUAAACUUUUUCAGCAGGGAAGAAGCGCAAGUGACGGUACCUGCAGAGGAGCGCCGGCUAACUACGUGCCAGCAGCCGCGGUAAUACGUAGGCGCAAGCGUUGUCCGGAAUUAUUGGGCGUAAAGAGCUCGUAGGGCGGUUUUGUCGCGUCUGGUGUGAAAACUCGAGGCUCAACCUCGAGCUUGCAUCGGGUACGGGCAGACUAGAGUGCGGUAGGGGAGACUGGAAUUCCUGGUGUAGCGGUGGAAUGCGCAGAUAUCAGGAGGAACACCGAUGGCGAAGGCAGGUCUCUGGGCCGCAACUGACGCUGAGGAGCGAAAGCAUGGGGAGCGAACAGGAUUAGAUACCCUGGUAGUCCAUGCCGUAAACGUUGGGCACUAGGUGUGGGGCUCAUUCCACGAGUUCCGUGCCGCAGCAAACGCAUUAAGUGCCCCGCCUGGGGAGUACGGCCGCAAGGCUAAAACUCAAAGGAAUUGACGGGGGCCCGCACAAGCGGCGGAGCAUGCGGAUUAAUUCGAUGCAACGCGAAGAACCUUACCAAGGCUUGACAUGCACGAGAAGCCACCAGAGAUGGUGGUCUCUUUGGACACUCGUGCACAGGUGGUGCAUGGUUGUCGUCAGCUCGUGUCGUGAGAUGUUGGGUUAAGUCCCGCAACGAGCGCAACCCUCGUCCCAUGUUGCCAGCGGGUUAUGCCGGGGACUCAUGGGAGACUGCCGGGGUCAACUCGGAGGAAGGUGGGGAUGACGUCAAAUCAUCAUGCCCCUUAUGUCUUGGGCUUCACGCAUGCUACAAUGGCCGGUACAAAGGGCUGCGAUACCGUAAGGUGGAGCGAAUCCCAAAAAGCCGGUCUCAGUUCGGAUUGGGGUCUGCAACUCGACCCCAUGAAGUCGGAGUCGCUAGUAAUCGCAGAUCAGCAACGCUGCGGUGAAUACGUUCCCGGGCCUUGUACACACCGCCCGUCAAGUCACGAAAGUCGGUAACACCCGAAGCCCAUGGCCCAACCGUUCGCGGGGGGAGUGU
rnacentral:rRNA from 1 species